rnacentral:misc_RNA from 1 species
GAUGAAGAACGUAGCGAAAUGCGAUAAGUAAUGUGAAUUGCAGAAUUCAGUGAAUCAUCGAAUCUUUGAACGCACAUUGCGCCCCUUGGUAUUCCGAGGGGCAUGCCUGUUCGAGCGACAUUAUAACCCCUCAAGCUCAGCUUGGUGUUGGGGCCUGCUGCACUGGCAGCCCUUAAAAUCAGUGGCGGCGCCAUCUGGCUCUAAGCGUAGUAAUUCUUCUCGCUAUGGAGUCCUGGUGGAUGCUUGCCAUCAACCCCCAAUUUUUCUAUGGUUGACCUCGGAUCAGGUAGGGAUACCCGCUGAACUUAAGCAUAUCAAUAAGCGGGGA